GUCUCUCGUGGCUUAUUGCUUUAAUAUAUCACAUACAUGAGGGAUGAAAACAAUCUGGUAGCCGCGACCCUGAUCAGGAUGAUGUGGGAAGUGAUAUGACAAUGUCUAUAGCUGGUGCCAGCCUUGAUGACUUCAACUGUAUUGAUGGGUGAGCCACUGUAAAUAACAAAGGAAAGUAAAAGUUCUGGGUUUGGGGUUUUUUCUUAGUCAAUAAAUAAAGAAAACAUUAAUGUAUUUCAAA